rnacentral:rRNA from 1 species
GGCGGCAGGCCUAACGCAUGCAAGCCGAACGGUAGCACAGAGAGCUUGCUCUUGGGUGACGAGUGGCGGACGGGUGAGUAAUGUCUGGGAAACUGCCCGAUGGAGGGGGAUAACUACUGGAAACGGUAGCUAAUACCGCAUAAUGUCGCAAGACCAAAGUGGGGGACCUUCGGGCCUCACACCAUCGGAUGUGCCCAGAUGGGAUUAGCUAGUUGGUGAGGUAAUGGCUCACCAAGGCGACGAUCCCUAGCUGGUCUGAGAGGAUGACCAGCCACACUGGAACUGAGACACGGUCCAGACUCCUACGGGAGGCAGCAGUGGGGAAUAUUGCACAAUGGGCGCAAGCCUGAUGCAGCCAUGCCGCGUGUAUGAAGAAGGCCUUCGGGUUGUAAAGUACUUUCAGCGAGGAGGAAGGCAUUAAGGUUAAUAACCUUAGUGAUUGACGUUACUCGCAGAAGAAGCACCGGCUAACUCCGUGCCAGCAGCCGUGGUAAUACGGAGGGUGCAAGCGUUAAUCGGAAUUACUGGGCGUAAAGCGCACGCAGGCGGUCUGUCAAGUCGGAUGUGAAAUCCCCGGGCUCAACCUGGGAACUGCAUUCGAAACUGGCAGGCUAGAGUCUUGUAGAGGGGGGUAGAAUUCCAGGUGUAGCGGUGAAAUGCGUAGAGAUCUGGAGGAAUACCGGUGGCGAAGGCGGCCCCCUGGACAAAAGACUGACGCUCAGGUGCGAAAGCGUGGGGAGCAAACAGGGAUUAGAUACCCUGGUAGUCCACGCCGUAAACGAUGUCUAUUUUGGAGGUUGUUCCCUUGAGGAGUGGCUUCCGGAGCUAACGCGUUAAAUAGACCGCCUGGGGAGUACGGCCGCAAGGUUAAAACUCAAAUGAAUGACGGGGGGCCCGCACAAGCGGUGGAGCAUGUGGUUUAAUUCGAUGCAACGCGAAGAACCUUACCUACUCUUGACAUCCAGAGAACUUAGCAGAGAUGCUUUGGUGCCUUCGGGAACUCUGAGACAGGUGCUGCAUGGCUGUCGUCAGCUCGUGUUGUGAAAUGUUGGGUUAAGUCCCGCAACGAGCGCAACCCUUAUCCUUUGUUGCCAGCGGUUCGGCCGGGAACUCAAAGGAGACUGCCAGUGAUAAACUGGAGGAAGGUGGGGAUGACGUCAAGUCAUCAUGGCCCUUACGAGUAGGGCUACACACGUGCUACAAUGGCAUAUACAAAGAGAAGCGACCUCGCGAGAGCAAGCGGACCUCAUAAAGUAUGUCGUAGUCCGGAUUGGAGUCUGCAACUCGACUCCAUGAAGUCGGAAUCGCUAGUAAUCGUAGAUCAGAAUGCUACGGUGAAUACGUUCCCGGGCCUUGUACACACCGCCCGUCACACCAUGGGAGUGGGUUGCAAAAGAAGUAGGUAGCUUAACCUUCGGGAGGGCGCUUACCACUUUGUGAUUCAUGACUGGGGUGAAAA